rnacentral:rRNA from 1 species
UACAGAGGGGGCAAGCGUUGUCCGGAUUUACUGGGCGUAAAGAGCGUGUAGGCGGCCACGCAGGUCCGUUGUGAAAACUGGAGGCUCAACCUCCAGCUGUCGACGGAAACCGUGUGGCUAGAGUCCGGAAGAGGAGAGUGGAAUUCCUGGUGUAGCGGUGAAAUGCGCAGAUAUCAGGAAGAACACCAAUGGCGAAGGCAGCUCUCUGGGACGGUACUGACGCUGAGACGCGAAAGCGUGGGGAGCGAACAGG